rnacentral:rRNA from 1 species
UACAGGGGGGGCAAGCGUUGUUCGGAAUUACUGGGCGUAAAGGGCUCGUAGGCGGCCAACUAAGUCACACGUGAAAUCCCCAGGCUUAACCUGGGAACUGCGUGUGAUACUGGAUGGCUUGAAUUCGGGAGAGGGAUGCAGAAUUCCAGGUGUAGCGGUGAAAUGCGUAGAUAUCAUUUGGAACGCCGACGGUGAAAACAGACAGCUGGGGGCGUGCCGACGCUGAGACACGAAAGCCAGGGGAGCGAACGGG